GUCCUGGCAGCGAGUCUGGGGUGAAGGGUUUCCGGCCGUCUUGCACGGUGCCGUAUUCGGUCGGGGCUGCUGCUCCGGACGUGUCUUUAGAUGGACUGUCAACGGGACAGCUGAGUAACUCCGCAGUUUCCUCUAACCAGAAAUUACAGGGUGAUAGAACCUUAAAUCUUCUCUCCGGAUCAUGUUACCUACCACACCCUGAUAAGGAGGAAACUGGUGGAGAAGAUGCUCAUUUUAUAUGGGAUGAGCAAGCUAUUGGCGUCGCAGAUGGUGUUGGUGGCUGGGCUGAACUUGGUGUUGAUGCAGGGCAGUAUGCUAGGGAACUUAUGUCAAAUUCAGUGGCUGCUAUCCAAGACGAACCAAAGGGAUCCAUUGAUCCAGCGAGGGUUCUAGAGAAAGCUUAUUCGAGCACUAAAGCCAAGGGAUCAUCAACAGCCUGCAUCAUUGCACUCACGGAUCUGGGCAUCCAUGCUGUCAAUCUAGGGGACAGCGGUUUUAUUGUUGUUAGAGAUGGGCACACUAUCGUCCGUUCACCUGCACAACAACAUGAUUUUAAUUUCCCUUAUCAACUUGAGUGUGGCAAUGUUGGUGAUCUUCCUAGCGCUGCCCAGGUGUUUACUUUCCCAGUUGCAUCUGGUGAUGUCAUAGUUGCAGGAACUGACGGACUCUACGACAACUUGUACCACAACGACGUUACUACUAUUGUCGUUCAAGCGAUCAGAGCGGGGAUGGGCCCUCAGGUGACAGCUCAGAAAAUAGCAGCUCUGGCUCGCCAGAGAGCACUGGAUAGGAACCGGCAGACACCAUUUUCUACUGCUGCUCAGGAAGCAGGGUACAGAUACUUCGGCGGCAAGCUCGAUGACAUUACAGUUGUAGUCUCGUAUAUCACUUCCUCUGGCACAUGAGACCAGACACUUAUUUUUUUUCUUUUUUACUUUACU
rnacentral:misc_RNA from 1 species